AUCUCCUCUUCAGAACUCACUAAAGUGUGCUUCAGCUUUUCAGUCUCCGUAGAAUGGUCAUUUUUAUCCUCAGAGUUAUUAAGCCUAACAUUUUGAGCUUGACACUUGUGCUCCUCAAGGUCAGCUGUUGUAACUCUGUUUGCCUCAAGAAGUAACCUAUUUUCAGCCAUAGAUGCCUCUAUCUCAGAUCUUGUGGAAUUAAGACUUCUCAAUAACUUGGUAUUCUCUUCAAUGUACUGGGCUUCACUGGCAAGACAACGAUUUAGGGUUGUUUCUACAUCAUGAUGCUUCUUCUGAAGUUCAGCAAGAUGCCUACCUGAGGUGCAAAGCUGCAAAACCAGCUCUUCAGCCCUGCCUUCAUACUGAGUUUUUGUGAAAAUCAGUCUGAUAUCUGCAGCUACUAAAAGUUCAUGCAUUUCGCAUAACUCAUUUUCAAGUCCAGAAAUUGAAGAACACUCUUCUCGAGCACUUUUAAGACUGUCCUCAUAGUGAGACAAAAGGAUGCAAACUCUCGAUUGCUCUGAUUCUAAAUCUGACAUUGAUUUCUCGAGAUGAAGCAACUGACAAUCCUUCUCAUUUAAUUGUGAAGUCUGUUCUGUAAUUUUACUCUCUAAACUCUCUCUGAAGGUUCUCUCAGAAUGCAAUUGAUUACUUAGAGAUUGUAAACUUUCUCUGAGACUGUUCAGCUCUGAAGCAAGCUGGGCAGAGUCAUCAGUUUUAUCCCGUGAAGACACCAUCAAAGCUUGGUUUUCAUUGUGCAGAGAUAGCAAACGUUCUCUCAAACUGUCUAAAUCUGAUUUAAGCUUGGACGAUUCCUCAGAUUUUUCCUGUGAGCAUACCGCUAAAACUUGAUUUUCGUCAUGCAUGGAAUGCAAACUCUCUUUCAAGAUUUUUAUCUCUGAAGCAAGCUUGGCAGUUUCCUUAGUUUUAUCCUGUGAAGAAGCCACCAAAGCUUGAUUUUCAUCACGUAGAGACUGCACACUUUCUUUCAAAUGGUUUAGCUCCAAUGCAAGAUGCACACAUUCCUCCAUCUUUUCCUGUGAAGACGUAAUCAGAGCUUUUUUCUCAUCAUGCAGAGACUGCAAAUGUUCUUUCAAAGCGCUAAGCUCCAGUUCAAGUUCAGCAGAUUCCUCGGUUUUACACUGCAAGGAUGCCAUCAAAACUUGGUUUUCAUCAUGCAAAGAUUGCAAACUUUCUUUCAAAAUCUUUAGCUCUGAUGCAAGAUUCUUGGAUUCCUCCAUCGACACAGUCAAAGCUUCUUUUUCAUCACGCAGAGACUGCAAAGUUUCUUUCAUACUAUUAAGCUCCACAGCAAGUUUGGCAGAUUCCUCUGUCUUAUCUUCCAAUGAUGUCAUCAAAGUUUUGUUUUCAUCAUGCAGAGAUUGCAAACUUUCUUUCAAACUCUUCAGUUCUGAUGCAAGCUUGGUGCAUUCAUCAUUUUUAUCCUGUAAAGAUGCCAUUAAAGUGUCAUUUUCCGUAGUAAGUUCCCCAGCCAUCAGAGUCUCUAAAGCCAAGAUUUCACGAGCAAGGUGCCCAUUCUUAGAAUUAAGUUCCUGUAGCCCAACUUCUAAAUGAUCAAGAUCAGAGAAAAGCUCAUUGUGCUGCUCUGCAUAUUUUUCUUCAAGUUCAGAGGUAACCUUGAAUCUAUUGCUGAAAGCCUCAAUAUCUAACUGAAGCUUCUGCAACAUGACAUUUGACACAUCUAAUUUACCCAUCAUACUCUUUAUUUCAUGUUCAAACUUCUGUUUCAUCAAUGUUAUCUCAGAUUCAGCUGCAGUAAAGGACUGGAGCGCAGCAUCUCUUUGUUGCAUAAGACAUUCCUUCUCUUCUACCAGUUGGAGAAUCUUUUCACAUGCAUUACGCUGAACCUCUUCCAGUUGCAUCAGAACAUUUGUUAAGCCCUGACUGUCAGAUUCAUUCAAGGAAGGCAUUGCACUGACAUUUUUUACAUAUGACGCCAAUAAGUUUUGCAAUUUAUUUUGCAGAAAGUUAACAAUAUUCUGCAGGUUUUCGUUCUGACAAACCUGCUCAUCAAACUUAAUUUUGACAGUUUUCAACUCAUCCUGCAAAGAGAAGUUUUCAUUUUGAAGAAUCCCAUUGUCUAGGGUUUUCUUUUCCAAUAAGAAUUCCAACUCUGCUUUCUCUGCAAAACAGGCCUCAUAUUUGUUCUCAUAACCCUUGUACUGCAUCACUUGAGAUUCCCAUUCACUAAUCUUCUGCACAAGAAGAUCAUUUUCAUGGAUUACAUCAUGCAAAUUAGCUUCCAAUUGUUGUUUCUGUAGAGCCAUAUCAUUGCACUUUGCAAUACAGGUAGCAUUGUACUCAUGGAGGGAUCGAACAUCACCAACUGCAGUCUGCAGCUUUUGCACCAGAAACUCCUUCGACUCAGCUGAAAACUCUAGUUGCUGUGUAAGCUCAUUCACUUUCCCUUUCAUGAGUUGAACAUCUUCGCUUGCACCAAGUAAAGUUUCCUGGAGAGCCUUUGAAAACACAUCCAAGUAGAUAUUCACAAAAUGCAUUUCACUAACUUCUUCUUCAACCUUCCUAUAAAGGCCUUCCUGCAAGUGGAGUGAUCUUUUCAAAUCAUCUAAAAGAAUAUCUCCACCCAAUUGCUGUUUCCUUAUCCCAACUGAUUGAUUUUGAAACUGCAAGAAUUUUGCUGCAUGUUCCCCAGAAUCAGAUCCCCGAGCACUUGGUUGUGAAAAAUCAACAAAGGCUUCCCUGAUCAGGUUCUCGUUUGUCUCAUGCAUAGAUAAUACCUGGAAAGAAAGAAGUUCAAGGUCCUUCUGUAACUGGUCCACGGCAAUAGAAUAAUUUAAGCGUGCCCUUUUGAGUGCAGCUUCUGCAGUUAUAGCCCUUCUUUCAAGCUCUUUGUUGAGGGAAUCCAUAUCUUGUUUGUCUUCCGCAAGUCUUAAUAUUUGGUCAUUCAGGUCUUGACGCAUGGACUCCAUCUCAGCCUUAGUGGAUGAGACUGUAUACAAGCAAGUUGAGUGCUCAUUUCUGAGAUUUUGCAACUCCUGCAACAUCCGACUUUGAUUUUCCUCGAGUUCUUGGACAAGGGCUUCAUAGUAACACUCCAUCUGGUCCAUUUUCUUCGCAAGUCCCUCCCGGUCUGCUUUUGACUCAUCCAACUCUCUCAGAAGUUCAAAAAUUUUACUUUUCAUUGCAUUGAUAGUAUCUACAGUAUCAGAUUCAUGAGAGAUCAGACCAGGUAUGUUAAGAGAAUGAAGCAUGCGAAGCUCGGACUGAUACAAGUCCACGUCAAACCCUGUUCCAGCUGCAAACUGGCCAUUUUUAUGUAAACUCGUUUCUCUUAUCUCUUUCAGACUUGCUCCUUCAGAGGAAAUCAAGUUGGGACUGGAAACUGCUAGUCCACUUGCUUGUUUAAGAUUCUGCAUGAUGUCAAGCAAUGCUUCUAUGUCUGAGUGAAGGAAUCUUAAGUCCCUUUCAUCAUAACCACCAAAGCGUGCCUUGUUUUGAAUGUCUCUUAUAUUAUCCUCCAUGGCUAAAAGCUCCUUUAGCCAUUUGAGCUGUAAAUCUUGAAUUAUGUGAUCCUGUUCUGCUACAAUAGCUUCUCUGGUGCUAAAUGGAGGGCAUAAUUUUGAAAGCGUUAGCUGUUCAAGAUCAUCUUUCAACUUUGAACACUCAGAUUUCAGCGCAGAUACCUCUUUUACCAGCUCUUGUCCAGAAUCAAUCUCAGCAGCAAGUUGCAUAGCAAAUUUUUGUGCUUCUUGACCUAUUUCAUUGGCAUGACUCUGUAACGAGCUUACCUCCAAUUUAAGCUCAUGAAUUGAUGACUCAGCUACUUCCAAGCUUCCUCUAAGCCUGCUGUUCUCUUCAUAAGUAGCUGCCAAGUCAUUAUCCACAGAAUAGUCUGAACUCCAGCCAUGAACCCAAUCAUUGGUCCCCUGCACUGAAAACUGAUGAUCAGAAGGAUCCCCUUUCUGCAGUCCAGCUAAAUCACCAGAGACAGUACUCCUAAGGCUAUCAAUUUCAUGCGUGCUGGAGGUUUCAUGCUUCUCAGCAUAUAAACUUUCUGAAGUAUUGGAAGACCCAUCAAAUCCGACAGCUGAAUCUGCAUAUUCUUCAUUCGUUCGCACCUCUUCCUCAACUGAAGCAAGAUCUUUGGAUUUUUCUUUGAAUCUGACUCUUUGAUUUACCUGUAAUCAGGAAAAAAGUAAGAAAAAAGAGUGAGAGAAAGCAAAUAUCAAGUCAUCAUAUCACAUUCAUCAUUUUAAGCAAUUCAAACUUUCCUAAAGCACUCACACUCUUCUUUUACUCCGAUAGAAAUAAGUAACAAUCACCCAAUGAUUUAGAUAUUGGAAAGCAAAAGAAUAAGCAUUUCACUACUUAUUAUGAUGUGGGAAAAUAUAUAGACUCUCAAAAACAAGUAAAAUUGCUUUAUCUUUUCAUUUUCAUCUAUUUGUUCUUUGAUAAUUAUAUUUCACAGAGACAGAUUAUGAUAUCGUUACAAGAGAAUCCUCUAAUUCAACUUCACUAGAAUAGUACCCGAGAUCAAUAAGUAGAAUCUUUCUGGAGAAAGGAGCUUUUUUACCCAGCUUUUCCUUUUUCUAUUUGAUAAGGAACAAAACAAAGUAACAAAAGCAUGUCUCUUAGCCACAUUGGUCAUUGACAGUCUUUUUUAUAUUCCUUGUUCUUCAUUCCUUAAUGAAUUGCAUUUCAACUAAGAUACAUAAAGAAUCAAAUCCAAAUAGUAGAUCCUCCAGUAGCAGAAGUGUUUGUUUGACAACUUUUGAAAAUAUCAAAUUCCAUAGCAGAGGUCUGACGAGAUGUUGCUGCUGCAGAUUGUUGAAAGAAGAAGAAAUAAAAGGUCCACCUUUUUCAUCCGGUAGAGCAAAGAUUUUGACCAUACUUCUUAAGUGAACUAAUUUAUGCAAUGGAUCAAUUGUUUUUGUGAUGCAGCAUAUGGCAUCAUAGAGGGCCUAAUUUUUCUUUCUUCUUUCUUACAUAACAAAAUACAUAUGAAAAUAUUUUGCUUGUUGAAGAGUAACACUUCUACUGUAUCAUGCAUCAGACAGAUACACUCAUCAAAAUAGAUCUUCCUAAGAUCAGAUAAGUGACCAAGAUAAGGCAGAAAAUGCCAGGGAAAUUUAGACUUGUAAUUUUGAAGGGAAGAAAUGUACAAAGCAAGAACUUGCAUGCUAUAGUUCAGCAGGUGUUCAGUGCAAAUUGAAAGAAAUCAGUUAUCAUGUGUAAUGAGAAGGAUAUCCAAACUAAACACAACAUCAAACCUUAGCUAUAUGAUCACUGACAGUCUCUUCUGAUGAAGAUAAUUUUCGACCAGAGGAUUCAUCAGGAGUAUUUUGGUCAUUCUGCAAUCCCCUUUCUCUAAUUUCUCUCUGCUGCUCAAACUCUCUGAAAGUAAAUAUAACCACAUAUAAAUGGGAUGAAAUGCAUGAAAAAUGAAAUUCACAUCAUCUAAACUAAUACCUGAAACCAGUUUUCGAAGUAAGCAGCUGCACAGUGACCUGUGAAUUGGUGACAACCAUUAGUACAUCCAUGGGAGUAAUACAUUAUAAAUCUAACUAUAGCAAACAAGCAAGAAUGCUAUUGGUGACAAACAUGAUUAUGCCCAUUAGAUCUUAUUGGUAUAUGCUCCAUCCAGUAGCAACAAUAAAUUAACUUGCUAAAGCAUCAUACAAAAGAAAUAAUAGAAUUAAGAAAUGCUCACAUGUAAUAUAGUGCCAGAAUCACAUCCAUGGAGGGGCAGAGCAAUAGCAGAAGGUUUCAAUGCAUCAGCAUAAUCAGCAAGAUUAAUCACAGCCUCACCAAGUAUAUUAGACCGUGAUGAACCCUGAUGCAUGUUAAUCAGAUUCAGGUCAAAGACAAUUAACUUGGAGUGCAUUAAGAGCAAAGGUGACAAUAGACUAUGGGAAAAGUCGUCCUUGGAACCAGGAAAUUGAGAUGUUACCAUUGCGACAAGAAACUUGUAGAGCUUUUCGUCGUACUGCUUGGUUUUAUUAUCUUGGAGAAGUCUAGUAGUCUCAUAGAUGGGAUCUGCCCACUUACAGGUCCCAUUUCUCACAUUGGCUUUGGUCGUCUUUGCUGUUGCUUUUACAGAAUCACUAGGAAUGAAAGAUAUAAAAAGUUUAUCCCAUCCUGAUUGUGGAAUCUGUAUAUCACAGAAUGAAUGUAUAUCCAGUCAUUGUAGAGUUCAAUAAGGAAUCUGAUGAAGCUAUUUAAAUAGAAGCACUAAUGAUUAUAAUUCAUCAAUCAAGUCUUCUCAACCAUACACAGCUUACAGCACUAUUGAGAGUACACUUACAUGUGUAGCAUGGAAUUGUAGCCGGAAGACCACUUUAACUUUUGUUUUCUCAAGCUUCCAUCUAGUGAUCCUCGACAUUACUAAAAAAUCAAUCUAUCAUCAGCUGCAUAACAGUUUGGAACCGGAUAAGAUCCUCCAGAAUCACUUUGAAAAGAAAUAAGGCAUCUGCUUUAAUUAAACCAUUAACCAAUGUUAUAAGCUAGUACAACAGCAAAGGAACAUGCAGGAGAAAACAAAAAAAUUCAUAUAUGAAAUUGCGAAACUUUGAUAUCCUAUAAAUCUCUCAACCAUAAUUAUAACACAAUUAGAAACAGCAAUCCCUUACAAGAUGCAAACACAAAAUCCUCAAGCUAGCCACUAUCACUAACAUACAGUUAAACUAAAACAUACUAGAUAACAGAAGAUCCAACAACUUAUAUUCAAUUCCUUUGGUCCACUUUCUCCGAAACCAAAAGGAAAGUGAAAAAAAGAAAAAUGCAAGUCAAAAUUUCAGCUUAAAAAAAAAGAAAAAAAAGGGAAAACAAAGCUAAUUGUGGCUCAUACCUGCUUCAACGAAGCAUAUACCUUAUCAAAACGCCAAAACCAGAAAAAAAAAAAUAUCAAAAUGCACUCAUCAAAGAGAACACCCCCGAUCCAAACCCUACAAGAACACAGUGAUUUCAAAAUUUUCAGGUCCAUAAAACGACAAACAAACACCAAAAGACGCACCAUCUUCACAAUAAAAAGGUCAAAAAAGACUGACACAAGAGUAAAGAGUAAGAGACAAUCCAAAAACCAAAUGUCUAGCUAAAUGUAGAAAAGAAUGCACCCGAUAAAGUCUAUCAAAAGAAAGCUCUUUAAAAAAGAUCCAAGAAAAACAAAUAAAUUAGAGUAAAGAAAAAAGAAAACAAAAAUAAACAGUAUACAUUCAAUUUACCAGAUUCUGAUAUUCGAACUUUGGAGCAUAGAAAAACAAACAAAACAGCAAAACAAGUAUAGUAAUGCAGAACCCAGAAAAUGUAGGGAAGUAAACUUGAGAUUUAGAUCAUUAGAAUUUAAUAUUUUGAAAUAAAGUUUAAAACUUUAUUAAUUAGUAUUCCUUAACUGUUUAAAACAAAUAAUAAAAUGAGAUUAGGUACCAAUUGACGGAUCUGCAGGUGCUUAAUGUGGAAGCGAGAGCAGGGAAUCUUUACAGAGAAGGUUCUUACUUUGUCCAGCUUCAGACACAGAGAAAGAGAGAUUUGAGUGUGUGCUGUUUGUGUUUGUUGGGAUUUUUGGGAGAGAGUGAGAGUGCGAGACAGCGAUAUUAAUAGCGUGAACAAGCAGUAAAUCAGAGCAUAAAAUUGUGAUUAGAUGAAGAUUAAGUAAAUAAUUAUGGGGUGGAAAUGUAAUUAGAACGCUUAAUUAAUAAUCAAUAAGGUGAGAUGGAGAUGGGCUUGAAGGUGAAAUACUAGCUUCCUGGUUAUGAAAAUUUUGAUUUAGAAUUAACACUUAAUUAAAUAAAUAAUAUUAUUAUGGUAUUAAAAAAAUAAAAGACAUCGAAUGGAAAAUUUUUUUUUGAAGGGACAUCUAAUGGAUAAUUUUAUAGCAACAAUUCCUUUUUUUUUUAAUUAAAAGUUUCAAAUUCCGAAUUUAAGCAUUGAGCAUGGAUAUUUUUAAAUUUUUUAGAGGAGAUUUUGUCCGUCACAAUGUAAAUUCAAUCUAAUCGAUUUUGUAAAAUAUAGAUUUCAAAUUCUAGAUGGUUCAGAAAAAAAAAAAAAAAGAAAAAAAAAAAAAGAGGGAAAAGGAGACACCCCGCCAAAGAGAAGCCUGUAAUUGUCACCUUGUGAUUAUUGAUUAAUUAUUAUUAUUAUUAUUAUGUAAUUUAACUUAAUUGACAAUGAUGGAACAUGGAUUUUACUUUAUGGUCCAUGCCUCAUAUCUAAAUUACUAAAAUGACCUCUCUUUGUUAUGGUAUUUGACUACAGGACCACUAGUGUUUUUAUAUGACAAAGGGGUCUUUAAUUGACAAAUCAACUGACUGGUUUCCACUUAGAAGAUUGUUACAAAUUUUGUGAUUGGAUUUUUCUGACCAUUGCAGAAUCCUUACCAACGAUUAAUGUGGAUUCUUAUAAAAAAAAAAUUAUAAUAAUAAAAUUUUUAAUUAUUCAAAAAUAUUUUCAUAUCAAUUUAUACAUUUACUAAAAUUAAUUUCCUUUUAUUCGAAAUUCAAAAAAGAAAAAUAUAAGCUCAGCCUAUAUAUUCAAACUACAUAUAUUUCAUAAAAUUGAAAUUUUAGAGACUCUUCAUUCCAUGUCUAAUUUGACUUUGGUAUAAAUUAGUAAAAUAUAAUAAACUUGAUUAAGCAAUGACUUUUGUUUAAUUUUCUUUUUUAAUGUUAUCCUUAUAUAUUUGUUUUCUAACCUAAGAACAUGGAAAAUCCAUAGUUUAAUUAGUUUCUAUUUUAAUAUUUGGUUAAUCACAAGAAUAAUAUAUUUAUUGAUAAAAUAGGAAAGAAUAGAAAAUUGUAAAAAUGAAUUUUUUUUUUCUAAAGAAAAAUAUCGGGUUAUAAUUCGAGACAAAUUGAAAAAGAAACAUGAGCAUAUUUAUGGAAACAGAGGGAAUAGAAACAAACAUUUUUGAAAGAUAAAAUUAUAAAAUUUUUCUAUAUGAAAAAAUUGUAUAUAAUUUCUAAAAAAAAAAAACUAAAUACAUAAAUUUGCCCCUUUACUUUUUCACAAAAAAUUAAUCACGCCCUCAACUUUUUAUUUUAACUCAUUAAAUAUUUUCAUUUAUAAAAUUAUAUCUAUUUAACACUUUAAUUUUCAAAAUAAUUCUAUUAAAUGUCACGGUGUUAUAAACUAAAUAAACUAAACACUAGUUGAAAAAUAUGAAAAAUAUUAUUUAAAACUAUAUUAAUCACAUAUCAUUAACAUUUUUUUUUAUAUAAAAAGGAAAAAUAUUGAAACGUUGUUGUUUAUGUGGAUAAACAUAUAAUUUUAUCAAAAUUCAUAAAUUUUCAGUUAAAAUAAGUCCCACAUGUUUGAAGUGCAACAAAAAUUUUGGCUAAGAAUACAUUUUUAGAUUUAGGUAUUUAGCCAUUUCUAGAACAAUGUAAAUGCAAGAUUGAGCAUUUUGUCACUUACAAUUUCUAAACAACAUAUAGCAAGAAAAUUUUAAUUUAAUUUAUGACAAUAUUUAUAUUAUAUUGUGGGUGUAAUAUCUCAAUGCAGCAAAGCGAUUCUAAAAGACGAGUAAAGCAAAACUCUUAAUUAGCUUCUAGAAUGACAGAAUAGUUAGAGUAAUGGAAUGCAAAUGCAAGAAUGAAUCAUAUCACAUAUGAAAAUAAGAAAACUAUAUCAUCAAAUGUGUCUUUUGGUGGAAUGACUGAAAGAGUUGGAAGAACUUCAUGGUUAAAUGUGCUCACAUCCAAGGAAGUUUUCAUUCCACCUGCGAGACUAAAAACGAGCAAACAAAUCUCUCUUAUUUUAAUUUUUUAUCAAAUUGGUAAAAGAAUUUCAAUAACACUAGCUAAAUUAAAUUAUUUUUUGAAAAUAUUUUUUAAAAAAUAAAAUUUAUUUUUCCUUGCCACAAACGAAAAUCUAAAUUAGGGUAGCAUCUUGGGCAGAAUGUACGAGACAAAAGUGAUGAAACUAUAGCCUUCUCCUUGUGAGAUAGUGUACUAUGCCUUGAAAAAAAAGAACUUGACACAAAUGGUUAAAAGUUGUAGCUAUAGAGCCAAUUUAAAGUAGCCAAAAAAAAAGAAUGAAGUGGGUAUUUGAAGAAGAGUCUUAUUUUUCAAGAAUUGAAGGAUUUGGGCAUGGAAAAUUUUAUAAAUGGGGUCUACAAUUCAAAAUGACCUUUAUGUUGUGGACACCAAAGCACAUGGGUUUGGUCUGGUUUGAGUAGGGAGAGGCAUUAUCUUCUAUUUAUCUUUCAAAUCUAGUGAUUCUUCUACUCAUAUGGGUAUAUCAUAUCUAACCCUUCGCUUUCUUUAUCACGUGAUAAAGUCUUUCUCGUCACGUGCACCCUUACACGUGGCAACAUUUUAGGAUAUUCUUGAGCAUUCCAAUGACUUUUUUUUUUUUGUAAAAAUUAAUGAAUGAAAGGGAAAAAAUUAUGCCAACAAAGGUGAUUACUUAUUAAUGACUCGAAAGAGUUCUUGUCUUAAGAAAGAUCAAUUUUUUCUUUCCUUCUUUCUUUCUUCUUUUUUUUUUUUUUUUUUUAUUUUUUUUUAUGAUUUGAUAUUUCAUAUGAUGAUCUUAUGGGUCCUGCCCAUUUGCCUAAGCAAUCUUUCAAUUAAGAAAGUAAUUUUGACUAAAGAAUAAUUCAACUACUCCACUUUUAGAUCCUCCAAAAACAAAUUUUAUUGCUCCUUAAGUGCCCUUCUUCAGCUUAGUUAAUUACAAUGGAGAAUAAAUUGUACAUAUAAUUAAAUUAAAAGUUCAACUUAAUAAAUCACAAAAUAAACACUUAGAUCUUAUUACUAAUUCAAUAAAAAAAUUAAAACUGAACAUUAAAAUAAAAAAUUACUAUUGACGCAAAAGAAAAAAAUCUUGAUAUAUCCCAAUUUUAAGUUUAAUAUAUUUUAUUUACUGGAAAAUCCAACAAGCUGAAAACACAUUGUAUAUCAGAUAAUAGAGGUAUCCCUUGAUUCUUUUUAUUCAUCAAAUUAUCAAGAAUUCUCGAACUUGAAAUCUCUCGCUCCCCCAUAUAUGCAGGGGAACUAAUCAAACCAUUCAUAUUUAGCUUUAAAUCUAACAUUUUAUUCAAAUAUUUAACCUUUUUCUCAUAAAUAAAUGACUUUGGCAUGUGAUUAGAUUUAUUUUAGUGUUUAAAAAAAUUAAAGAAAAGAGAUUAUGUUAAAGAUUUGUCCCCCUUUCGUCAUGAUCUCCGGCCCAAUGGUUGAUGGGCCAGUAUCCUUAAAAUAUUUGCCUGUGCCUACAUGGUACAGCCCAAACAAUACUUAAAAUAAGCAAAGUAUAAAAAGUGCCCCAAUAAAUAAAUAAGUAAUGGGGCACUCUACUCAUCUACUGGAUCUAUCUUGGGCUUUUGCAGUAGAAUAUUAAUAUUUAAACAAAAAAGGUUUUUCACUUUUGGAUGAUUUGGGCCCAAAUCCUUUUGGAUAGGAUUACCACUUUUCAAGAAAAAUUGCAUAUCCCUAAUUUCUCAAUGUUGUGAAAUUAUCAUCUAAACCACAAAAAAAAACAAAAGGCAUACUUAAACUACACAUUCAAUCAAUAUGACAAAAACAUAUAACAAAAAAUAAGAAUUAAAUUUUAUCGAAUAUUAUACAUAAUAUAUAUUACAAAAUAAAAACAACAAAAUACUGAUUUCUUCCAAGAUAUCCAUAAACCUCACUCUAAGAUUCCAGGGGAAAAAGAAAAAAAAAAAAAAGAAUUAUGAUAUAUAUAAUAUAAAACAUAACUCUUCUUCAACCUAUGAUAUAUACAGGCUACAAGUAAGGUUGCUUUUCUUGAUGAUCCAAAGAUGAGAUUUUGGCAGAAUGGCCUUUCUUGAAAACUCCAAAAAAGCAACCAGAGCCAGUAUUGCAAUUAGCAGACUUGUCUUCUUCUUUCUCAUUAGCUACCAUUCCUUUCUGUGCUGCUUCUAAUUUCUUCAUUUUUUCUUGAUGAAGCUUUCUCAUGGUGUAAGCUUCUGCUAAAGUAGACCCUCCAAAAGCAGCCCCUGUUGCCAUAUCUUCAAGAAAUCAAAUCAAAUAUAUAAAAGAAACUCACUUGUCUGAAACUCAAGAUAGCGUUGGUGGAAAUGAAGAUGAUUACUUCUACAGGCUUCCUCAACUCUCUAUAUAUAAUGUGAACUUGGCCAAGAUUUUAGAAUUCAAAGAGCGCUGGCUCUCUUUUUGCUUAAUUUCCAAGAAACUGCUUUUUAUGGUGUUUAUGUGCAUUAAUCAUGCAUUAAACAUGAGAUUAGGCGUUACGGAAAAUAUUAUGGAAUGUGCAUUGCGUAAGCAAAGAUGUGGCAUUUUGGAGUACGGUGGAUUGGAUGAUGGUAGCCAACUUUCUUGGACUGUCUCCUUUCUGUGGACCCUUUUUUUUCUUGAUGAAAAUGAAAUUUUCUUGGAUGUCAAGAUUGACUUUCUUUGUCCUAUGAAAUGUACAGGGAAGCAUCACUAGAAAUUUAGAAGCACCUGCUUUAAAUUUUCUGCAAUUUCGAAGCAUCUUCUUCAGAUUUUCUGUUAUUUAGAAAAAAAAAAAUUAAAAAAAAAAUUCAACUUUUAGUAAUUUAACAAUCCAAUAUUUAUUUUAUAUUAUAAGAAAUAAAAGAUUUAUAAGAAAAUGUUUCUAACUUUCUAUUAGAGCGCUUCAAAAUCCAAACCUAACAAUCCCAUUUAUCCAUAAGCAGCUAUAAUACAACGUAAUUAGGAAUGGUUUAAUUGAUUUUUUUUACAAAUAUAUAUAAACAAUGAGCAUGAAAUUUGAAUUCUCUCGAGUACAAAAGUUUUCAUCAAUUUUGUAAGUAAAAAAAGAUGACGUAUAGGGUAAUCUGCCUCCCUAACAAAUUUUUUUCUUUAAAAAAAAAAAUUACCCAUAAAAUAUUAAAGAUUUUUUAUUUUACUACUAAAAUAAUAAAUUUUUUCAAUUUCGCCCCUUAACUCUUGAAAUUUUUUUAAUCCCUUAACUUUAAUUUAUGGCUCUGCACCGAAUAUUAUCUCGGUUUAUUAAAUAUUUUAAUAAAUUUAAAAAAAAAACUAUAGUAGAAUUUUAAACCGGGUUAAUUUUACCAUGAAAAUGACUAUAGUAAUCUCGUUAAUUUAUUAAUUUCAGAAUAAUUAAUUCAAUAUUUGAGGAUUUUUAAUUAAUAAUUGGCUAAGAUCGGAAUAAAUGAGGGUGUGAAGUGAAUACAUAUGAUGUACGAAAAAAUGUAUUAAAGGCACUGAAAACAUACUUUUAGACGGUACAUGACGUCAGCAAAUAUGUGGCAUUUUUCCAUGCACUGGCUGUGUGUCAGCAAUGACAUUUAUGCUUUAUUUGGAUGUUAUAAAAUAUAGGUGGAUGUAAAAAAAAAAAAAAAAAAAGGGAAAAUGCAUUGAAAAUUUUAAAAUUUUUAUUUGAUUUAAAUUGAAAUGUUAAGAAGGGUGUAAAAUAAAUUUAUUUUACAUUAUUUAAAUUUAAUUUUCACUCCAUUUUGGCGGAAAGUAAAAUUUUACGCUCUUAUUUUACUUUCUUUUCUCUUUCUAAACACGACAUUAGCUUUUCAUUUGAGUGUUUGCUAAUUUUUAACUAUUCAUAUAUGCAUGUUUCAAAAGAAAAAAGAAAAAAAAAAAAGGUAUUUGCCAAUGAGCUACGGUUUAAUUGGUUUCUCAAUAGUGUUGGUUAUAAGCUCCCGAGCUCAAAUUCUCUCGGUCCACAAAAUUUUUCCUAAUUUGGUGAAUCAAGGGGAGGAUUAUUUCCUAUUGUUGUGUAACUUAUUAUAUUAUCUCGAUCCACUGAGACUUUCAAUGAAUAAAAAAACAAUUCAUAUCAUAUCCACAUUUAUUUAAAAAUAGGUGAAGGCUCGGGCACUGUGCGGAUUGUUUUGUUGCUAUACAUUAACUUUAUAGUUUAUAAUAAUUUACAAUUUAUUUAUAAUUUAUAAAUUAUUUUUAAUGAUUUAUAUUAUUUCAUAAUGCAUUGAAAAUUUUAAAAUUUUUUAUUUGAUUUGAAUUGAAAUGUUAAGAAGGGUAUAAAAUAAAUUUAUUUUACAUUAUUUAAAUUUAAUUUUCACUCCAUUUUGGUAGGAAGUAAGCUUUUACGCUCUUGCAGAUUUAGUUGAUUUAUCAAUAGUUUAAAAAAAGGAAGAAAGAAGUAAAAGAAAGAAGCAAGAAAGAAAUAAAAGAGUACGAGCACUUGAAUACAGAAAGAAGUAAGAAAGAAAUAAAAGAGUACGAGCACCUGAAUACAAAAAAUUAAACGUACAUAGUCUAUAAAUUUUCAAUAAAAUGCCACCUCUCUUAUAGGAGAAAUAAAAAUGAAAAGGGAAAUAGUUGAUUGCUAAUAAGGGAUAAGAUUAGAUUUCAAAAUUAAAUUUAACUUAGAUUUCAAAAUUGAAUUAACUUAGAUUUUAUUCACUCACUAAAUAUUAGAUUAGAUUAAAUUUAUAAAAGAAAAAAGAAAAUAUUCAAAAAGUUAUUAAAAAAAUCAGAAAAUUUAUAAAAAAAAGAUAAAAAGGAAAGCUCAAAAGAUAGAAUACCAAGUCAGUUUUGUAAAGUUUAUUUUUUUUUGCUUCAGGAUUAUAUAUACAUAGAUUUGAAUACAUUCAUAUUCAUUAUAACCACAUUUAAUUUUUUUUUAGAAAUAUUUUUAUUUAAACUUAUUAAUAAUUAUACUAUCUGUAUAUAUCUUUUAGAAUAACCACUAAUUUUGAAUUACUCGUAUCUUUUGUAAAAUUAUUUAGAAUACUCUUAUUGAUUAGUAUUACUUAUUUACUAUUUGAUGAAAAUCCGUUUAAUGUAAAAUUAAUUAAAGUUUUAGAAAAAUUAAAUAUAAAAUUUUGAAUUCGCAAAUAACAAAAUUCAUGGAUUAAAAAAAUCUAAAAAGAAAAAAUAGUUUUAAAGAAUCCCAUGUAUAAACUAAAAAAAUUCAUGAUAAUAAUAUUAACAUGUACAAUGAAUCUCCAAUAAUGAAUGUCUCUAACUAGUUUUAAGUUUAUACUGUAAAUUUUAAUAUCUGUAUUCAUCAUAAAUAAAUUAAUUUCAUAAAUAAAUUAAUUUCACCGAAUUAGAAUAGAGAACCAGUCUAAGAAGAGUUGGAACUCUAAGCUUCAGAAAUAAAAAGAAAAUUGCUUUACAAAUUCUUUGAUAAUAUGACCUUUUAAUUUUUAUUUUUUUCCGUUUAAGUUUUCGUAAAAAGUAUGCAUAUUGAUUUAUAAAUUUAAAGAACCUUACUAUUCACAAUAAAACUUUUUCUCGAGUUAAGAUUAACUUUAGCUUUUAAAACUUUGAGAUAGCAAUCACAAACAUUAAAAUAAGCUGUAUUUUAGAAGUAUGGAUGAGAAUAUAGGUAGCUUCAAAGAAUGGUUCAAAGAGAAGACAGUGGAGUUGGCAAAAGAGCAGCUGGAGGUGAUUUUCAUAAUGGCGUGGUCGGUCAGCUUGAAGAGCGAGGAAUGUUUUUGUUUUUCAAUGAAAGGGUAUUGUCUGAGCUUGAAAUAGUCCAUCAAGCUUUAUACCUUCUAAAGGAUUUUCAAGUAAAUAAUGUUCAUUCUAAUAGUGAAAAUCUCCGAUUUUAACUUUGAAAAGGUCAUGGUCCCUCCAAUGGGUGGUGUAGUGAUGGCAUCUUGCAACUUCCACAACAUUUCUUCACUAUGCUUUUUGGAGAUAGAUAGCUGCUGUUUCAGUUCUUGUAGCCUUGUCUCAUAUUGCUCUUUGAUAAAUGCAAUUCUCAAGGACUCUUGCAUGGCAACUGGUGGUGCUUCAAGUUCUCUUUUUUCAUGAGCCUGGAUAUACUCCGCAUCAGCUUUAUCUUUAAGUUCCUUCAAAUGGACAGACAAACUUCUAAAUUCUUCUGUCUUCAAAAUCUGUUCAGCAAGCUUCUGGUUUAGCUCAUUACACUGUUUUUUCAGCAUUAUUAACUCAUUAGAAUAUCCUUCCAUUGCAAUUAUAUGAUCCUGUUGUUCUUCCAAUUUGGCCUUGAGUACUAGAGCUUUUACUUCUAGUUCUUCCUUGGAGAAGACCAGAUUAUCAAUCUCCUCUUCAGAACUCACUAAAGUGUGCUUCAGCUUUUCAGUCUCCGUAGAAUGGUCAUUUUUAUCCUCAGAAUUAUUAAGCCUAACAUUUUGAGCUUGACACUUGUGCUCCUCAAGGUCAGCUGUUGUAACUCUGUUUGCCUCAAGAAGUAACCUAUUUUCAGCCAUAGAUGCCUCUAUCUCAGAUCUUGUGGAAUUAAGACUUCUCAAUAACUUGGUAUUCUCUUCAAUGUACUGGGCUUCACUGGCAAGACAACGAUUUAGGGUUGUUUCUACAUCAUGAUGCUUCUUCUGAAGUUCAGCAAGAUGCCUACCUGAGGUGCAAAGCUGCAAAACCAGC
rnacentral:lncRNA from 1 species